rnacentral:rRNA from 1 species
GACGAACGCUGGCGGCGUGCUUAACACAUGCAAGUCGAACGGAAAGGCCCUGCUUUUGUUGGGUGCUCGAGUGGCGAACGGGUGAGUAACACGUGAGUAACCUGCCCUUGACUUUGGGAUAACUUCAGGAAACUGGGGCUAAUACCGGAUAGGAGCUCCUGCUGCAUGGUGGGGGUUGGAUAGUUUCGGCGGGUGGGGAUGGACUGGCGGCUCAUCAGCUUGUUGGUGGGGUAGUGGCUUACCAAGGCUUUGACGGGUAGCCGGCCUGAGAGGGUGACCGGCCACAGUGGGACUGAGAUACGGCCCAGACUACUACGGGAGGCAGCAGUGGGGAAUAUUGCACAAUGGGCGGAAGCCGGGUGCAGCAACGCCGCGUGCGGGAUGACGGCCUUCGGGUUGUAAACCGCUUUCGCCUGUGAUGAAGCGUGAGUGACGGUAAUGGGUAAAGAAGCACCGGCUAACUACGUG